rnacentral:rRNA from 1 species
UACGAAGGGGGCUAGCGUUGCUCGGAAUCACUGGGCGUAAAGCGCACGUAGGCGGAUAUUUAAGUCGGUGGUGAAAUCCUGGAGCUCAACUCCAGAACUGCCUCCGAUACUGAAUGUCUUCGAGUCCGGGAGAGGUGAGUGGAACUGCGAGUGUAGAGGUGAAAUUCGUAGAUAUUCGCAAGAACACCAGUGGCGAAGGCGGCUCACUGGCCCGGUACUGACGCUGAGACGCGAAAGCGUGGGGAGCAAACAGG